ensembl:misc_RNA Metazoa_SRP Metazoan signal recognition particle RNA
GCUGGGCAUGGUGGCUCAUGCCUGUAAUCCCAGCACUUUGGGAGGCUGAGGUGGGUGGAUCACUUGAGGUCAGGAGCUUGAGACCAGCCUGACCAACAUGGUGAAACCCCAUCUCUA